AUUGAACGCUGGCGGCAUGCUUUACACAUGCAAGUCGAGCGGCAGCGCGGGGGCAACCCUGGCGGCGAGCGGCGAACGGGUGGGUAAUGCAUCGGAACGUAUCCUCGAGUGGGGGAUAACCCAGCGAAAGUUGGGCUAAUACCGCAUGAGCUCUGAGGAGGAAAGCGGGGGACCUGCGAGGGCCUCGCGCUGGAGGAGCGGCCGAUGUCCGAUUAGCUAGUUGGUGGGGUAAAGGCUUACCAAGGCGACGAUCGGUAGCUGGUCUGAGAGGAUGAUCAGCCACACUGGGACUGAGACACGGCCCAGACUCCUACGGGAGGCAGCAGUGGGGAAUUUUGGACAAUGGGGGCAACCCUGAUCCAGCCAUGCCGCGUGAGUGAAGAAGGCCUUCGGGUUGUAAAGCUCUUUCGGACGGAACGAAAUGGGCGGGACUAAUACUCCUGUCUGAUGACGGUACCGUAAGAAGAAGCACCGGCUAACUACGUG
rnacentral:rRNA from 1 species